UAUUCGGGCUUAACAUGCUACAAUGGUCGGUACAGUGGGUUGCUACACCGCCAGUUGGUGCUAAUCCGCUUUAAAGCCGGCCUCAGAUUCGGAUUGAAGUUUGCAAAUCGACUCCAUGAAGUCGGAGUCCCUAGUAUUCGUAGAUCAGCAACGUUCGGUUAAUACGUUCCCGGGCCUUGUAAAAACGGCCCUUCACGUCCGGGUAGUGGCCACCCCCCCCGCCCCCUGGCCCUCUUUCGUCUGGGGAAAAUAGGACCCGUUUUUUUUGAAAUCCCACCCAGCCCCCUUAUAAUAGGNUGNGNUUUGGAAUAUUGUACAAUGGGCGCGAGUUUGAUCCAGCAACACCGCGUUGGGGGAUGUCCGCCCUUCUAGUUUAAAACUCCCUUUCCACCAUGGACGAAGCUUUUUUUUUGCCAUGGUGUUAGAAAAAACCUAUCGGUUAAAAAAUUUUUCUUUUGUUAGUCUUCAGUAUUGUUUAAGUACGUAGGUUUGUAUCCUCGAAUCACUUGUGCCGGAAAAGAAAAUACUUUUUUUUUGUUGUUGGUUUCGUGCGUAUUUCCCAUUUAUUCUGUUUUUUUUUUUUAGAGGUUGUCCGAGGUGCUAGUAUGUUCUUUAAAGUGUAUGGGGUCCUGAUGUAUAGAAUGUAUUGAGACGUAAUUUGUUGUUGGGUGCAGCCCGUUAUUUUUUGGUACUUCCUGUUGUAGGCAGUAGUUUUUAUUGAGGUUGCGAGUGGUCGUUCAUUUUACUUUGUUAUCCUAUCUUUACUGUUAUUAUGUUUUUAUUUCUGUCACUG
rnacentral:rRNA from 1 species